rnacentral:tRNA from 1 species
CGGCACGUAGCGCAGCCUGGUAGCGCACUGUCAUGGGGGUGUCAGGGGUCGGAGGUUCAAAUCCUCUCGUGCCGACCA